UACGAAGGGGGCUAGCGUUGUUCGGAAUCACUGGGCGUAAAGGGCGCGUAGGCGGCCGAUCAAGUCGGGGGUGAAAGCCUGUGGCUCAACCACAGAAUUGCCUUCGAUACUGUUUGGCUUGAGACCGGAAGAGGUUAGUGGAACUGCGAGUGUAGAGGUGAAAUUCGUAGAUAUUCGCAAGAACACCAGUGGCGAAGGCGGCUCACUGGUCCGGUACUGACGCGUGAGGUGGCGAAAGCGUGGGGAGCAAACAGG
rnacentral:rRNA from 1 species